AUUGAACGCUGGCGGCAGGCUUAACACAUGCAAGUCGAGCGGGGUGAUGGUGCUUGCACUAUCACUUAGCGGCGGACGGGUGAGUAAUGCUUAGGAAUCUGCCUAUUAGUGGGGGACAACAUCUCGAAAGGGAUGCUAAUACCGCAUACGUCCUACGGGAGAAAGCAGGGGAUCACUUGUGACCUUGCGCUAAUAGAUGAGCCUAAGUCGGAUUAGCUAGUUGGUGGGGUAAAGGCCGACUCAGGCGACGAUCUGUAGCGGGUCUGAGAGGAGGAUGCGCCGAACUGGGAUUGGGACACGGCCCAGACGCCUACGGGAGGCAGCAGUGUGGAAUAUUGGACAAUGGGUGGAACCCUGAUCCAGCCAUGCCGGGUGUGUGAAGAAGGCCUUAUGGUUGUAAAGCUCUUUAAGCGAGGAGGAGGCUCUUUUGGUUACUACCCAAGAUGAGUGGACGUUACUCGCAGAAUAAGCACCGGCUAACUCUGUGCCAGCCGCCGCAGUAA
rnacentral:rRNA from 1 species